rnacentral:ncRNA from 2 species
CUGGCUUGUGGCAGCCAAGCGUUC